rnacentral:rRNA from 1 species
CCCUUAGAUGUUCUGGGCCGCACGCGCGCUACACUGACGAAUGCAACGAGCUUAUAACCUUGGUCGAAAGGUCUGGGUAAUCUCCAAAUUUCGUCGUGAUGGGGAUAGAUUAUUGCAAUUAUUAAUCUUCAACGAGGAAUGCCUAGUAAGCGCAAGUCAUCAGCUUGCGUUGAUUACGUCCCUGCCCUUUGUACACACCGCCCGUCGCUCCUACCGAUUGAAUGGUCCGGUGAAGCGUUCGGACCGUGGCCUUUGGACGGUUCGCCGUCUGUUGGCUGCGGGAAGUUCGUUAAACCUUAUCAUUUAGAGGAAGGAGAAGUCGUAACA